UACAGGGGGGGCAAGCGUUGUUCGGAAUUACUGGGCGUAAAGGGUUUGUAGGUGGCUUGUUAAGUCAGACGUGAAAUCCCUCAGCUUAACUGGGGAACUGCGUCUGAUACUGCUGUGCUAGAGUGCAGAAGGGGCAAUCGGAAUUCUUGGUGUAGCGGUGAAAUGCGUAGAUAUCAAGAGGAACACCUGAGGUGAAGACGGGUUGCUGGGCUGACACUGACGCUGAGGCGCGAAAGCCAGGGGAGCAAACGGG
rnacentral:rRNA from 1 species